rnacentral:rRNA from 1 species
AUUGAACGCUGGCGGCAUGCCUUACACAUGCAAGUCGAACGGCAGCACGGGAGCAAUCCUGGUGGCGAGUGGCGAACGGGUGAGUAAUAUAUCGGAACGUGCCCAGUCGUGGGGGAUAACGCAGCGAAAGCUGUGCUAAUACCGCAUACGAUCUAAGGAUGAAAGCGGGGGAUCGCAAGACCUCGCGCGAUUGGAGCGGCCGAUAUCAGAUUAGCUAGUUGGUGGGGUAAAGGCCCACCAAGGCGACGAUCUGUAGCUGGUCUGAGAGGACGACCAGCCACACUGGAACUGGGACACGAUCCAGACUCCUACGGGAGGCAGCAGUGGGGAAUUUUGGACAAUGGGCGCAAGCCUGAUCCAGCAAUGCCGCGUGCAGGAUGAGGGCCUUCGGGUUGUAAACUGCUUUUGUACGGAACGAAACGGCCCUUUCUAAUACAGGGGGCUAAUGACGGUACCGUAAGAAUAAGCGCCGGCUAACUACGUGCCAGCAGCCGCCGUAAGAC